rnacentral:lncRNA from 1 species
UGAAGAUGAAGUAAGAGCAAACAAUUGGUAGUCGGAAACAAUCAGAUUGAAAACACACUCAUGGCAUAAGCAAUGAAAUCACAAAAGCAUUCCAUAAAUUACACUGGUUCCGGGAUACACAACAAACAAACAGAAGCAGAGCAAAAAAAAGACGGCUUUACCAAAAGAAACAAAGAGCAAUCAUUCUCUACGCCGGCUGCUGAGACUCCAAGGGAAGGCCAAGGAGUUCAUCUCCUCCGGCUUCGGCUUUCCUGGCGGCCCUUGCGAUGACAGGAAGCGCCACAAAUGAUUUAGUCUUACUGAUGGGUCUGCUCUUUUCCAGUCUGACCACGUCGCCAACCUUGAACUGAUUAUCGGGGUCGUGAGCUUGGUACUUCUUCUUCAUCCUCACGCGCCUCUUGUACUUGGGGUGGGGAGCCAGCCUCACCACCUCCACCGCCACAGUCUUGUCACUGGUUGCGCACACCACGCGCCCCUGCAUCGUUUUCAUGGCUCUGAUGACCGGAACUAAAGCGGGCAUUCUGUGGUUCGGGAAGGAAUUGGGCUUAGAGAGAGAUGAGAGAGGAGUGGAGCCAUGGGCGAACGGAGACGAAAGCUUGAGAGCUUGCAGAGAUGAGGUUAGGGACGACGUUAUCAUCCUUCCGAUUUGGAAUCGAAUCGAUGAAAAUGAAGAUAAGG